rnacentral:lncRNA from 10 species
GGCCAGGCCAGGGCUCCAUGACUGCUGCUCUGAAGCAACAAAGCCCCCUACUCCACUUUCAUCUUGCCAGGGCAGAGGGUGGGCUACAGCGGGAUCUGGCUUGUUGCUGGGAGACACCAUCACUGAAGGUCCGCGAUUAUCAUUGCAACUGUUCAUGUUCCUUUAAAAAAUUAAAUUAAAAAAAAAACCCAACAUGAGAAAUCUCAUGCUUGUCAGAGUCGUCCUCCCCCGCUGUCGGCUCCCAUUAUGAAUCCGUGGCAUUUUCUGCUGAGAGUUAAUUACAUGUUGUGUGAAAGAUACCAGGCUUCCUUUAAAAAUUUUUUCUCCUGGAUGGGUUUUGACCCCGUCAGCUGCCUCCCUCUGCUUCCUCCCUGUGCAGCAGGAAAGAAGGGCAUGCUUGGGGGAGGCACAGGCCUGAUGUCCCGGCCCUCUGCUCCUCAGAGCCCGCGUUCCUCCCGCUGAUUGCUCAAGGCCUCCCUGAACCCAGGCAGUUGUCACCCAGCGCCCGGAGAGCCCGCUCCUGCCAGAGCGCGGGGAUCAUGACAAAGCACAAAUGGAGGUGCUAUUUAAGGUGCCAAGCACUUAGCCCUCCACAGGCUGUUUCCUCUCACCCUCCUCCCUCACAAAAAGGGGGGUCAGGUGGAGGGAGGGGUGCAAAUGGCUUCCUGAAGCCAUCCCUGUGAAGGCUCAAAAGGGAAUGUGACCCCUCCAGGAGGCGAAAGGCAGAGCCUCCCAGUUGCUGGUUCUUUUUUUCUGCUUGCUCCCACACAUAGACAAAAAUUCUCAUUCUCGAGAUGGCUCAUCUUUUCUCCUAAGAGGCGAUGACCCGCUCCGGAAGCAAGUGUGGACUAAUACCACGAGUUAUUGCCUCUCUGCAGUGUUGAAUUUCACCUCUUUAAGAGAUGGCCAGUGGCACAGCUGUUGGGACCUCUCAGAGCACGUUACAACACCCCUUGCUCUGACAAGUCACAGCGUCUCGGAGCUGGAAGGGCCUUCUCA